GCUGGUACACACAGAGUUGAACCAUCUGUUGGGCAGUUUGCCCAAGGCUUGUCUUGCUUUUGGCAGCCCAUAUUUAUCUACAAUGGGUCUCUCUGAUAUGAGGGUAGACUUUGCUGGAGGCCAGGGUAACAGAGCAUAGGAAUUAGGCAUGUGUCUCCUUCCUUGAUUUUCCAAGAUGCCUUUAGAGGAUCCUCAACCUGCUGACACUUGCUGACUAGUAAAGCCCUUCCCUUUUCUACAAUUGUACUUACGAAUAUCAGAUAAAGGCAGGAAAGGUUGGGAACAUGCAAAAGAGCCCCUAGCAGCUGUGUGGGGAAGCGGACAGCUCCCCUGUGGGGCCUGUGAUGGUGCAUUGGUAUCACGACUCUCCCUCUCCUCUAUUGGUGCUCACUUAGCUGAGAAUAUGUACAACGAUAUCCUGGCCUGGGACAAAACAGAGCAGGUGCUAAGAGGAUCACGGCUGUCACCUGAUAUCAUUGAAAUGUUUGGGGCAGGGGGUCCUCCCUCCGGGCCUUGCCAGGUACCCCUCUACUGUGCUGCUCCAUCUCACUCCUGCUGACUCGUCCACCAUGGGACAAUCCAGAAAAGCAUGAGAAAAGCACUUGGCACUUCUUGUGUGGGAAGACAUCACAGUGGCUCAAAAAAGCAUUUUUCUCCAGUUUAUUUUUAUGAAAGGUCAGUGCCUUGGACAUAAUGUUCACUUCCAUUCAAGAACAUUUCUUGAUAAGUAGAAAUAAUUUUUCAGGCAAAAACCUGAUGUGAAAAUCUUUUCGGAAAAUUAAAUACCUUUGCUGUUAAUAAGUCAAAUCAAUGUUAAUAAUAUUCUUCUGUGUAUGUCCAUAGCCUUGAAUUGUAAUCCAGCCUAUAGCCCGUAUCAUUUUGUUUGAGUUUUUAACAAUAGACUGAAUUGUUAAAGAACAGUUUUAGAGUUUCAGAAGAGUUGAGAAAACAGUAGAGUUCCCAUAUGCCUGUACCGAGUUUCCCCCAUGGCUAUCAUCUUAAAUUUCUGUGGUACAGGGUGUCCUCAGAAAGCAAGCGGAGGAAUGCCUCGUCUUUACAUUUUUCGUAUAUAGGAGUCUUCUCUAUGUGGAGACUGAACUAAGCUGUGUCUACUAUUCUGUUGAUUUAAAGAAAACUACUGGUGGCACAUGCCUGUAAUCUAGCAUUGGGAGGCCAAGGUGGGAGGACUGCUUGAGCCCAGGAAUUCAACAUCAGCCUGGACAACAUAGCAAGACCUCGUCCCUAUUUUUAAAAUAAAAUUUGUUCUACAAAAAAAUUAAAAAGAAAAAGAAGGCCGGGCGCGGUGGCUCACGCCUGUAAUCCCAGCACUUUAGGAGGCCCAGGCGGGUGGAUCACGAGGUCAGGAGAACGAGAUCGUCCUGGCUAACACGGUGAAACCCCAUCUCUACUAAAAAUACAAAAAAUUAGCCGGGCGUGGUUGCAGGCGCCUGUAGUCCCAGCUACUCGGGAUGCU
rnacentral:lncRNA from 1 species